GGCAUCAUUCAAAGGGCAAAGUUAUCAGGAUGUCACUAAGAUACCCUGCCGACUUGCGAUGCUUACGUUUGCUCCCUUUCCUAGUUUCUAAACUCGUGGCUAGACUUAGUCAACGUUCUUUUCCCAAGUUCAGACCACUUUAGCCGCCAGCUGACCCACAAAAACGUACAAAAACUCGUUGGAAGGUUCUGCUAGGAAAUUUGUUCUACCCGGCCCAAUUACUC
rnacentral:lncRNA from 1 species